AAUCAACGCUGGCGGCGUGCCUAACACAUGCAAGUCGAACGCGAAAGCCCCGCAAGGGGCAAGUAGAGUGGCAAACGGGUGAGUAACACGUGGGUGACCUGCCUUCGAGCGGGGGAUAACGUCCCGAAAGGGACGCUAAUACCGCAUAACAUCCUGCCUUUGAAGAGGUGGAGAUCAAAGCUGGGGGAUCGCAAGACCCGGCACUUGAAGAGGGGCCCGCGUCUGAUUAGCUAGUUGGGGGUAAUGGCCUACCAAGGCAACGAUCAGUAUCCGGCCUGAGAGGGCGGACGGACACACUGGGACUGAGACACGGCCCAGACUCCUACGGGAGGCAGCAGUGGGGAAUUGUUCGCAAUGGGCGCAAGCCUGACGACGCAACGCCGCGUGGAGAUGAAGAUUUUCGGAUCGUAAACUCCUGUCGAAUGGGACAACAGAUUACGGGUUAACAGCCUGUAGUCCUGACGGUACCGUUAAA
rnacentral:rRNA from 1 species